UCCUUCUUCACAUCCUCGUCUUCUCUCUCUAAAAAAACUCGCUCCCCCUCUGUUCCUCUCUAGGGUUUCAGCGCCGCUUUGUGCUCUUUGCGAUCGGAGAGUUUAGCUUCUACGGCUCUAUCAGUCACCGUCACCGCGAGCUUCAGGUAAUUACAUUUUCAUCUGCUUAAAUUUUAUUUUUUGAUUCUUCAUUUACGUGGAAGUAAUUAGGUUUGAUUACAAUGGUCGAUCUAUUUUUUUCUGAUCUGAUUCGCAAUUUAUUCUUCUCAAGGCUGAGUUCUGAAUUCGGCAAAAAGGGUUGUCAUUGAUGAUCUAUGAAAUGUAAUAUGUAGUUAAAUAUUAGUUAUUUUGAUUAUUCUACUAAAUACCACUGAAUUUGCUAAGGUUAGUUUAUUGUUUGCCUUUAUUCUGACAGCUUGAGUUAAUUGAGUUCGAGGGAAUUUCUAUUCUAGCUGUAACACUGGCAUGGAAUGACUCUUCCCUUUGUAAAUUUGAAGAGGCUAUUCAAACUUAUGAGUUAUCUAUGUACCAGGUAUAUGGAGGUUGUCAUCUCCACCUGUCAAUGUUUUUCUUUCAUUUUCCUUCUUUAUAUGAUGAACUAUAAAACUUCAAACUCAGGAAUUUCAGUUUCCUUCUUUAUGGGAUGAUUUGUAUUCUCUCAAUAAUUUUCUGUAUAUGGGAUUAAAUGUACCCACUGAACACUAUGUGAGUCUUCCUCUAAACAGAGAGGUGUGUAUAUAUGCAAUUUAUAUUUCCAACCAUAAAUGGGGUGUUUCCUUGUUUAUAUAUUAAGAAGGAAUUAGUUGUGGGUUUUUAGUAAGCGAACUAGAUGGGCAAGGAUGGUGAAUAAAUGAAGAUGAUAAGGUUUACAGUCUAUUUUGAUUCCUACUUAUUUGGAGGCAGGAAUUUUCAAUCUAUUUGGUUUACUAGAAUUUAACCAAUUUCCAUUCAUAAUUCAGUAUUACAGUUUUAGAUAUUCUUACAUUUCUAUAUUAUAUUAAGCUAUUGUCAAACAAUUAUUUUUUCUUUUAAUUUCUUUAGGCCAGACAUAAUUCAUGGCUCAUCACAGAGGAAUGCCGCAGCAAAUACAUCCGCUCUACUUUCAUAAAGUUCAAUACGGUGAAUAAUAAUAAUGCUCAAAUGGUAAAUUUCUCAGCUUUCAAUUUAAUAGUCUAAAUUUAUUUUUACCCGAGCUCUAUUAAAGGUUUGCUUUGAUUCACUCUAGCAUAUCACCUCCCAUCAAGGUAACAGUGUUAUCACAAUAACAAUUAUAGGCUAAACCAUUUAUUCUUUAUCCUCCCUCUCUAUGAACUGGUAAAACAUAUGGUAUGUUGUAUGACUUUUAGUUUUGAGAAAUUGGGUAUUAACUCAUUUAAGUGUAUCUGAUAAGUAAAUGGAACAUUGAUAUAAU
rnacentral:lncRNA from 1 species